rnacentral:rRNA from 1 species
GAGUUUGAUCGUGGCUCAGAACGAACGCUGGCGGCAUGCCUAACACAUGCGAGUCGAACGCUUAUCUUCGGAUAGGAGUGGCGCACGGGUGAGUAACGCGUGGGAACCUGCCCUGGGGUGGGGAUAACCGAUGGAAACGUCGGCUAAUACCGCAUACGUCCUGAGGGAGAAAGAUUUAUCGCCCUGGGAGGGGCCCGCGUCGGAUUAGCUAGUUGGUGGGGUAAUGGCCUACCAAGGCGAUGAUCCGUAGCUGGUCUGAGAGGAUGAUCAGCCACACUGGGACUGAGACACGGCCCAGACUCCUACGGGAGGCAGCAGUGGGGAAUAUUGGACAAUGGGCGCAAGCCUGAUCCAGCAAUGCCGCGUGAGUGAUGAAGGCCUUAGGGUUGUAAAGCUCUUUCGGCGGGGACGAUGAUGACGGUACCCGCAGAAGAAGCCCCGGCUAACUUCGUGCCAGCCGCCGCCGUAAU